UUGCGAUGGAAGGGAAAGGCAAACCGGAAAACUUAAGGCCGUUUGGUGUGUUUUUCCCUUCCAUCGCAG
rnacentral:pre_miRNA from 1 species